CCUAUUGUCUCUGGUUAAAUGAAGGUUUCACAGUACCUUUAUACAGUUACUGUUAACAUGACCCCUUAUUUUCUACAAAACACAAUACAAUGGAGAGGUACUUGUCCACAUGAUGACGCAUGUAUUUAAUGUAGAAAAAAAUGACAUUAACUCAUUUUUCGAACCCAAACGAGCAGUUACUGCCUUUUUGCUUGUUAGGGCAGAAUAGAAUGCUGUAGUACUUACAACGGGUCGGUUGUUCUGAGUGUUGAGGUUGAUCAUUAGUGGGUCCAGGUCGGUUGUUCUGAGUGUUGAGGUUGAUCAUUAGUGGGUCCAGGUCGGUUGUUCUGAGUGUUGAGGUUGAUCAUUAGUGGGUCCAGGUCGGUUGUUCUGAGUGUUGAGGUUGAUCAUUAGUGGGUCCGGGUCGGUUGUUCUGAGUGUUGAGGUUGAUCAUUAGUGGGUCCAGGUCGGUUGUUCUGAAUGGUGUGUGUUGAGGUUGAUCAUUAGUGGGUCCGGGUCGGUUGUUCUGAGUGUUGAGGUUGAUCAUUAGUGGGUCCAGGUCGGUUGUUCUGAAUGGUGUGUGUUGAGGUUGAUCAUUAGUGGGUCCAGGUCGGUUGUUCUGAGUGUUGAGGUUGAUCAUUAGUGAGUCCAGGUCGGUUGUUCUGAAUGGUGAGGUUGAUCAUUAGUGGGUCCAGGUCGGUUGUUCUGAGUGUUGAGGUUG